rnacentral:rRNA from 1 species
ACUCCUACGGGAGGCAGCAGUGGGGAAUAUUGCACAAUGGGGGAAACCCUGAUCCAGCCAUGCCGCGUGAGUGAUGAAGGCCCUAGGGUCGUAAAGCUCUUUCGCCUGUGAAGAUAAUGACUGUAGCAGGUAAAGAACCCCGGCUAACCCGUGCCAGCAGCCGCGGUAAUACGGAGGGGUUAGCGUUGUUCGGAAUUACUGGGCGUAAAGCGCGCGUAGGCGGACUGGAAAGUUGGGGUGAAAUCCCAGGGCUCAACCCUGGAACUGCCUCCAAAACUAAUCAGUCUAGAGUUCGAGAGAGGUGAGUGGAAUUCCGAGUGUAGAGGUGAAAUUCGUAGAUAUUCGGAGGAACACCAGUGGCGAAGGCGGCUCACUGGCUCGAUACUGACGCUGAGGUGC